rnacentral:rRNA from 1 species
UACGUAGGUGGCAAGCGUUGUCCGGAUUUACUGGGUGUAAAGGGCGUGUAGCCGGGCUGACAAGUCAGAUGUGAAAUUCCGGGGCUCAACCCCGGACCUGCAUUUGAAACUGUUGGUCUUGAGUAUCGGAGAGGCAGGCGGAAUUCCUAGUGUAGCGGUGAAGUGCGUAGAUAUUAGGAGGAACACCAGUGGCGAAGGCGGCCUGCUGGACGACAACUGACGCUGAGGCUCGAAAGCGUGGGGAGCAAACAGG